GCUAUGACGCCGUGCGCUUCAUGUCGCUGCUGCACUACAGUAAUACACUCGUAUGAUCUAUACGAGUGUAUUACUGGCUGAACACAUCACUGUAAGCUAAUUGUAUGUACUUCGCCAUGCAAGACUACCACUGACCAGCAAAUUAUAAAAACAUAACCUUUAUUAGUCCACAUUAAGAUUACCGAACAAAUUAUAGGUGUGGGUUCCAGAGCUGGCACCGCUGAGAAAAAUGAUGUUUUAAUAUAAGGGAAUGAGCCUAUAGGAGCAAAGCAGGUACGCCAGUUUUUUUUGUGCAAAAUGCGCCCAAAAGAAAU